UGGGGAAUAUUGGACAAUGGGCGCAAGCCUGAUCCAGCAAUGCCGCGUGUGUGAAGAAGGCCUUCGGGUUGUAAAGCACUUUUAUCAGGAGCGAAAUCGGCAAGGUUAAUAACCGUGUCGUCUGACGGUACCUGAGGAAUAAGCACCGGCUAACUUCGUGCCAGCAGCCGCGGUAAUACGAAGGGUGCAAGCGUUAAUCGGAAUUACUGGGCGUAAAGGGUGCGUAGGCGGUUAGUUAAGUCUGUUGUGAAAUCCCCGGGCUCAACCUGGGAAUGGCAAUGGAUACUGGCUGGCUAGAGUGUGUCAGAGGAUGGUGGAAUUCCCGGUGUAGCGGUGAAAUGCGUAGAGAUCGGGAGGAACAUCAGUGGCGAAGGCGGCCAUCUGGGACAACACUGACGCUGAAGCACGAAAGCGUGGGGAGCAAACAG
rnacentral:rRNA from 1 species